ACAAAUUGUUGACAACUGAGGCAUAUGAUGAUAUAAUUAAAGCAGAAUUACCAAAUAGUAAUCGUGAACCAAAUUUGCGCAAACUUGUUCUUAAGCAUAUAAUGCACGGCCCUUGUGGUAGUUUAAACCCGACAAAUUGUUGUAUGAAAAAAGGUUGCUGCAAAUACAAAUACCCACAAAAGUUUGCCGAUCAAACAUCAGAAGGAAAUGAUUUGUAUCCUAUAUAUAGAUGAAGUAAAAGAAUAUCGGACUGCCAGAUGGGUAUCACCUCCGGAAGCCUUAUGGCGUCUCUUUGGUUUUCCUAUUAGUGAAAUGUAUCCAAGCGUUUAUUGUCUUUAGCUACAUCUUGAAGGCCAACAAUUUGUUUCCUUAAGAGCAAUGUUGGUAUAAAUACGAUCGUGAACAAUCCGAUGAUCAAAAAAUCGAUGUUAAUAGAAUUCUUCUAUAUGAACCAAACUGAUGAAGAUGCUAUAGAGCUGAAUUUACCGUACAAGGAAUUCCCUGAAUACUUUGUGUGGUCACAUUAAUGGAUCAUCGACAAUCAGAAAAGAAAUCUCGCUCAGUAAACGAAGCUCAUGAUGAAAAUACCAAACACCGUAAAAUAGAUAACUCUUUAGCAAUGACUCCAAAAGAAGAAAAGUUGUUGCAACCUCAAAUAUCGACAGGAAACAACCAAUCGUCUUCUCGCAAAUGCAAAUCAUGUGAAUCUUGAUGGAACGAUAUCUCACAUACAGCACGAUCUUAAUAUUGGAGUAGCUUUUCCAACUUCAGAAACAGAUACUGAAAUUGAGGAAAAAACUCCCACCCUCGAUGAUGUCGAUAUAUCAUGUAACUCAUCUGUUUAUGAUGCUCUGCGAUCUGACAUCCGUAGAUAUUCUACAUUCAGCACUAAGGAAAGCACAGAGGGUCUCGCCUACAAAGGGUAAUCUUUUGCUUUGUGUCUAUAUAGUAUAUACUUCCCCACUUCGUUAUAGUUUCAAUUUUUGUGUUGGAUUCAA